GAUGAACGCUAGCGACAGGCCUAACACAUGCAAGUCGAGGGGCAGCACAUGAGUAGCAAUACGAUGGUGGCGACCGGCGCACGGGUGAGUAACACGUAUGCAACCUACCGGUAAAAGGGGGAUAGCCUCUCGAAAGAGAGAUUAAUACCGCAUAAUUUGUAGAUAUCGCAUGGUAUUUAUAUUAAACAUUUAUGGAUUACCGAUGGGCAUGCGUAUGAUUAGCCAGUUGGUGAGGUAACGGCUCACUAAGGCAACGAUCAUUAGGGGGUCUGCGAGGCACGUCCCCCACACUGGUACUGAGCCACGGACCAGACUCCUACGGGAGGCUGCAGUGAGGAAUAUUGGUCAAUGGGCGCGAGCCUGAACCAGCCAAGUCGCGUGAAGGAUGAAGGUGCUAUGCAUUGUAAACUUCUUUUGUAAGGGAAUAAAAAGUAGUACGUGUACUAUAUUGUAUGUACUUUACGAAUAAGGAUCGGCUAACUCCGUGCCAGCCGCCGCCGUAACAC
rnacentral:rRNA from 1 species